AGAUUGAACGCUAGCGGGAUGCUUACACAUGCAAGUCGAACGGCAGCGCGGACUUCGGUCUGGCGGCGAGUGGCGAACGGGUGAGUAAUAUAUCGGAACGUGCCCAGUAGCGGGGGAUAACUACGCGAAAGCGUGGCUAAUACCGCAUACGCCCUACGGGGGAAAGGGGGGGAUCGCAAGACCUCUCACUAUUGGAGCGGCCGAUAUUAGAUUAGCUAGUUGGUGAGGUAAGCUCACCAAGGCGACGAUCUGUAGCUGGUUUGAGAGGACGACCAGCCACACUGGGACUGGAGACACGGCCCAGACCUCCGUAGGGAGGCAGCAGGUGGGGUAAUUUGGACAAGUACGGGGGGAAACCCUGAACUCCAGCCACUCCCGCGUCGUGCGAUAGGAACGGCCGUUCGGGCGUAGUAAAGACUACUUUUGGACGAAGGAACGGAAACGGACCGUACCCGUUAACGUAACCGGGU
rnacentral:rRNA from 1 species